rnacentral:rRNA from 1 species
AGUAACGCGUGGACAACCUACCGUAUGCAGGGGGAUACCAGCUGGAAACAGCUGCUAAUACCGCAUAUGCGCACAGGGCCGCAUGGCCUGGUGCGGAAAGGAGCAAUCCGGCAUACGAUGGGUCCGCGUCCGAUUAGCUAGUUGGCGGGGCAGCGGCCCACCAAGGCGACGAUCGGUAGCCGGCCUGAGAGGGCGGACCGGCCACAUUGGGACUGAGACACGGCCCAGACUCCUACGGAAGGCAGCAG